rnacentral:rRNA from 1 species
GGGAGUGGCAAGCGUUAUCCGGAAUUAUUGGGCGUAAAGCGUCCGCAGGCGGCCCUUCAAGUCUGCUGUUAAAAAGUGGAGCUUAACUCCAUCAUGGCAGUGGAAACUGAGGGGCUUGAGUGUGGUAGGGGCAGAGGGAAUUCCCGGUGUAGCGGUGAAAUGCGUAGAUAUCGGGAAGAACACCAGUGGCGAAGGCGCUCUGCUGGGCCAUCACUGACGCUCAUGGACGAAAGCCAGG